GGCGGCGUAGCCAAGUGGCUAAGGCAGAGGUCUGCAAAACCUUUAUUCCCGGGUUCGAGUCCCGGCGCCGCCUCCA
rnacentral:tRNA from 1 species